UUCGCGUGUAGCAGUGAAAUGCGUAGAGAUGUGGAGGAAUACCGAUGGCGAAGGCAGCCCCCUGGGCCAAUACUGACGCUCAUGCACGAAAGCGUGGGGAGCAAACAGGAUUAGGUACCCUGGUAGUCCACGCCCUAAACGAUGUCAACUAGUUGUCGGGUCUUCAUUGACUUGGUAACGUAGCUAACGCGUGAAGUUGACCGCCUGGGGAGUACGGUCGCAAGAUUAAAACUCAAAGGAAUUGACGGGGACCCGCACAAGCGGUGGAUGAUGUGGAUUAAUUCGAUGCAACGCGAAAAACCUUACCUACCCUUGACAUGUAUGGAAUCCUGCUGAGAGGUGGGAGUGCCCGAAAGGGAGCCAUAACACAGGUGCUGCAUGGCUGUCGUCAGCU
rnacentral:rRNA from 1 species